rnacentral:tRNA from 1 species
UUCAGGGUAGCCUAGUGGACACGGCAUCUGCUCGAUAAGAGGAACACUGUGGGUUCGGUUCCCAUCCCUGGAC